GAUGAACGCUGGCGGCGUGCCUAAUACAUGCAAGUCGAGCGAACAGACGAGGAGCUUGCUCCUCUGACGUUAGCGGCGGACGGGUGAGUAACACGUGGAUAACCUACCUAUAAGACUGGGAUAACUUCGGGAAACCGGAGCUAAUACCGGAUAAUAUAUUGAACCGCAUGGUUCAAUAGUUAAAGACGGUUUUUCUUUGACUUAUAGACGGAUCCGCGCCGCAUUAGCUAGUUGGUAAGGUAACGGCUUACCAAGGCAACGAUGCGUAGCCGACCUGAGAGGGUGAUCGGCCACACUGGAACUGAGACACGGUCCAGACUCCUACGGGAGGCAGCAGUAGGGAAUCUUCCGCAAUGGGCGAAAGCCUGACGGAGCAACGCCGCGUGAGUGAUGAAGGUCUUCGGAUCGUAAAACUCUGUUAUUAGGGAAGAACAAAUGUGUAAGUAACUAUGCACGUCUUGACGGUACCUAAUCAGAAAGCCACGGCUAACUACGUG
rnacentral:rRNA from 1 species